UUCGCCUCGCCGAGGAAUAAGUCCGCCAAGGAGGCCCUAAGGCCGCCGUCCACGCCUACACAUAGCCUCGAUCCUCGAUGUCCACGACGCCCUUGACCGGAGCUUCGACGCCUAAAUCCAGAACAUCGCUGCCGUGGACAGCCUCUUCUUCGACCUAUCCUCAAGCUCAGUGCCGUUUGAGGAGGAUAACAAGGAUCCGAGGAUCUGGUUCCAUGUCCAUAAUUACCAUGAGUGUAUGUUCUCCAUAUUAAAGAGGAUCAACGAUAUGCUGUUUAAGAAUUCACACAUAUGCUGCCUGUGCAGCUGUUUCUGUUGUACUGAUGACAUUUCUUGGGAUGCAACAAACGAGCUUGUUGUUGGCUGGCACGUCACUGGUCCAAACCUAAAGGACUAAAGAGGUCUAAAUUAAUGUGCAUGUUGGUUCAUUGAUCCUUGACAAAUGUUUUGUUUUUUCAGCGGUGGUUUAUGUGGUCAAGUGGUAAACUGGACGGGUCAAGUCUUUUCGAAGUUGUGAAAUUAUAGUGUAACAAAUAGAAUGAAUAGAACUUGCUGGCAUCCAUGUUUCAGCGAGACAAGGAGGAAUUGAUGACAUGAAGAAGCAUCUGGCUUUUGGUGUAAAAUUCAACAUAAGAGACAGUGAAGAGAACUCCAUUGUGCUGGCUGUCAAAAUGUCGUCGAGGUUCUUGUUAAUUCAAAUGCAGACGUCAAUCCUCAGGUAUGUGAUUUUAUUUGCACACUUCACUCAUUGAAAUAAAAAAUUCUUGGAUCUUUAGUUUGGUUAGUGUAUUUGAGCAUAUGAAACUGGUUGUAUCUCCGGCCAAUUAUUUCAGUGGGUUUCCAUGAUAAACUGCAUCAAAUGAGCAAAACGUUGGAUAUAUCCAUACUAACUAGAACACUUUAGGCAAGUUAUCAGCUUGCCAGGUUGGUGAAUUGACAUACUAGGUGACUUGUCAAGUCGUCAGUUCAUAACUUGAUAUCUUGCAGAGCGUAGAGCGCAGAAAGUUAUGGACCUUUUUUUUAUUCCCCUGAGAUUGUGCCUUGCAGUGACUGGAUUAAGAUAAUGAUCGAUGGCUAUUUCUAUAAUCAUUAGCCCAUCAUAUCUUAACACUUGACAUCUCAUCUAAUACUUUUAUGAUAUUAAAGUUUAUUACAAGGUUUGCACCUUCUAGCUGUCAAU